UCAAUGCAGUCGAACGGGAUCUGACCAGCUUGCUGGUUGGUGAGAGUGGCGAACGGGUGAGUAAUGCGUGACCAACCUGCCCCAUGCUCCAGAAUAGCUCUUGGAAACGGGUGGUAAUGCUGGAUGCUCCAACUUGACGCAUGUCUUGUUGGGAAAGUGUUUAGUGGCAUGGGAUGGGGUCGCGUCCUAUCAGCUUGUAGGCGGGGUAAUGGCCCACCUAGGCUUCGACGGGUAGCCGGCCUGAGAGGGCGGACGGCCACAUUGGGACUGAGAUACGGCCCAGACUCCUACGGGAGGCAGCAGUGGGGAAUAUUGCGCAAUGGGGGAAACCCUGACGCAGCGACGCCGCGUGCGGGAUGAAGGCCUUCGGGUUGUAAACCGCUUUUGAUUGGGAGCAAGCCUUUUGGGUGAGUGUACCUUUCGAAUAAGCGCCGGCUAACUACGUGCCAGCAGCCGCGGUAAUACGUAGGGCGCAAGCGUUAUCCGGAAUUAUUGGGCGUAAAGAGCUUGUAGGCGGUUCGUCGCGUCUGGUGUGAAAGCCCAUCGCUUAACGGUGGGUUUGCGCCGGGUACGGGCGGGCUAGAGUGCAGUAGGGGAGACUGGAAUUCUCGGUGUAACGGUGGAAUGUGUAGAUAUCGGGAAGAACACCAAUGGCGAAGGCAGGUCUCUGGGCUGUUACUGACGCUGAGAAGCGAAAGCGUGGGGAGCGAACAGGAUUAGAAU
rnacentral:rRNA from 1 species